UCCCUUUCAGCAUCACACCUGGAGAGUUUCCAAUACUCUACCAGUCUCGACUAUGGGAGGGAGAGUCAAGCAGAGGCAUACUCAUUCCAUUCCUGGUUCAACCAGUGGCUAGCGAGUGGAAGGCGACCUGCUACAAGU